AGUGGUAUAGCUCAGUUGUUAGAGCAUGAGACUCUGAAUCUCAGGAUCGGUUUUCAAAUAUGUAUCUUUU